rnacentral:lncRNA from 1 species
AUUUUUGUAGUGUAAAAGCUAAAUAAAUUCAUACAUACUGUAAUACAGAUAACCAAAGUAUAAAAUUUAAUUUACAGUGACACGUGUGCCCGCGAACGACCAAAAAUAUCAAAAACGGUAAACCUACAGUUUUUGAGGAUGCAAGUCCAACUGUAGCCCUCAACAAAGUGAGCUAUCUACCGACUAUCCUGAGCCUGAAAUGGGUGGAAAGGAGGGUGGUGAGAUUAUAUAAUCCCAGUGAGUAAACAAAUACCAUCUAAAAUAUCUAAAGCUGAGUAAAUGAAGACAGAUAAAAUAGAUUAGCAUAAAAAUGAUUCACAACAUUUUGAACUCAUUUUAAUAAGAAAAAAUAGAUUCAUUUCACCCAAAUAAACAACGAGGCUUAUGAUUUCCUGAAAAGUUUGACUCGUGCCAAAAUCAUUCUCAUACUCAGUUAUCAGGGAUACCUUGGCCGAGGGCUAUCCCAACCGAGUCUGUCAAGGCUGUUAAAAAGUCAUGUACGCAUAAAUCAUGUUUUUAUUUUGAAAACAUAGCCAUUCCUUGACGUUGGCUGAGUUCACCAUCACGUGGUGGUUUGGCGUGAAGUGAACUCUAAAGUUUUAACCUCAGGAGUUAUCCAACCAUGCCUCUCAUACUGAGGUAUGAAGAUAAUAGGGUUAUCGUACCCAUCUAAUAGGUUGGUCCACAGAACUCGUCCACUGCAGCGACCAAUUUAUAACCCACCAUUUCAAUAAAAUUCAACAGCAUGACAUGAUAAUUAUUUUAUUUUACAGCCUUUCAAGGAAAAUCAAUAGUUCAUACUUUUUCAAACAUUUACCAAAUCCAACCAUUCAUGCCAAUAUUAUCACAAGCCAUUCAGUUCAAACCAUGAUUUAUAACACAACAAUUAGUCUCCAAUUACUCCAUUUUCAAAACCAUCUUUCAAUUUCAAGACAAUUUUAUAAAAUCAUUUCAUUUAAUCACAUUUUGCUUAUAAAACAUAAAGAUUUACCAUUUAAACUCAUUUUCCAUAAAAUCACAAAAACGAAUUAAAAUUCACUUCAAAUAAUCAAGAUGAUGAUAAGGUUACUCACUGUAUUAGCAGUUUGAAUUUUGGAGUACUUCGACUAUUGAUCCUCGGGUGCAAUUUCUUUGCCCUUUUUCGGAGGAUUCACCACCUAGACAUAAUGCAAAAUCAAGCAAUUUACCACAUUGGUGCUAAACCGUUACAAAACUAAUCUAAACUCUAUAUGAAUGCAUGAUAUGGAAUGCGAAUUGUUCGAAUUAUCGUCUACAUGCGGUGUUGGCCUAACUCGAUCUAUCACCCGAUUAAUUGGCCAAUACAUCCAAUUCAACUCCAAAUAAUUCCAUUUCUCUCCCAAUACUUCAAAUCACUAAACACAAGUCAAAUAACAUAAAAUUUAGCAAAACCAUCCUCACAUUUCUUCUUGAGAAUUUUGGCCAUGGUGAGUGCAUCAACACUAUGAUUUUUCCUACUUGAUUUUCUCACCAUUCAUCAUUUCCUAACCAAUUCACUUGAAAUAAAAUCAAAUCUACCAUCAACACUCUACAAGGAAGAUUCGGCCAAUGAUGAACUCAUGAAGAAUAUGUGAAUUUCAAGCUUAAUUCUUACACUUAACACCAUAAACAACUAAAAACAUCCAUAUAUCUUAAAAAUCUAUCUAAAUCAUCAUCAAAUUCUUUCUCCUAGGGUUUGAUCAGCAGACUAUCCUUCGUGAUAUAUUGUGAUUCAACCAUGGAAAAUAAGAAAAAAUGCUUAAGAAAGAGAGAUCUCAAGCUUAAUUGGAAAAUCUUACCUUUUUUUCACUUGUUUCCUUGAAUUUUCACACUUUUCCCUUGAAUUUUUUCACCUAGGGUUUUGUUCUUCAUUUUCUUCCUUUGUUCUUG